rnacentral:rRNA from 1 species
AACGAACGCUGGCGGCAUGCCUAACACAUGCAAGUCGAACGAGACCUUCGGGCCUAGUGGCGCACGGGUGCGUAACGCGUGGGAACCUGCCCUUAGGUUCGGAAUAACUCCCCGAAAGGGGUGCUAAUACCGGAUAAUGUCUUCGGACCAAAGAUUUAUCGCCUUUGGAUGGGCCCGCGUUGGAUUAGCCAGUUGGUAGGGUAAAAGCCUACCAAGGCGACGAUCCAUAGCUGGUCUGAGAGGAUGAUCAGCCACACUGGGACUGAGACACGGCCCAGACUCCUACGGGAGGCAGCAGUGGGGAGUAUUGGACAAUGGGCGAAAGCCUGAUCCAGCAAUGCCGCGUGAGUGAUGAAGGCCUUAGGGUUGUAAAGCUCUUUUACCCGGGAUGAUAAUGACAGUACCGGGAGAAUAAGCUCCGGCUAACUCCGUG